AACUGAAAGAUAGUAAAACUGAUCGACUAAAAAGAUUUGGUCCUCAUGUUCCAGCUCUUCUGGAAGCAAUAGAUGAUGCUUACAGACGGAGACAAUUUACCCAUAAACCUAUCGGCCCUUUAGGUGCUUGCAUUCAUCUACGGGACCCUGAACUUGCUUUGGCCAUUGAAUCUUGCUUAAAAGGACUUCUGCAAGCCUAUUGUUGCCAUAAUCAUGCUGAUGAGAGAGUACUUCAGUCUUUGAUGAAAAAAUUUUAUCCACCAGGGACCUCUCGGCCACAGAUAAUUGUGUCUGAGUUUCGGGAUGAGGUAUAUGAUGUGAGACUCAGGUAAUCAGAUAAAUACUGGUUUUGCUUAAUUAUGUGCGCAGUUGAAAAGAUGUUUCAUAGGAUGCUUGCAGAACUGUUUUCUUCUAAAGGGGAUGAUAGCCAAAACUCUUUUAUUAUCUCUAGCUGACCACUCCAUUUUAUAUAGAGAGGUAUGUGAGCUUGGCACAGUAGUGUGCACCUAUAGUUCCAAUUACUCAUGAGAUAAUUUUGAACGUAGGACCUAGAAACCUACUGCAAAGUUGAAAUAAAAUAAAUAUAUGAGUCCAAGGUUGCAUUUUGAAAUUUUCUUUCCAUCUUUACUUUUGUCAAAAUAAUACUAUUUCUGAUUAUUUUGUAAUUACCUUAUUCAUCUUCAAGUAAAUUUGUGUAGAAACAAUUACCUUUGGUUCUUUUUUUUUAAAGAUUUUAUUUAUUGUUAUAUGUAAGUACACUGUAGCUGUCUUCAGACACACCAGAAGAGGGGGUCAGAUCUCAUUAUGGAUGGUUGUGAGCCACCAUGUGGUUGCUGGGAUUUGAUCUCAGGACCUUUGGAAGAGCAGUCAGUGCUCUUACCCGCUGAGCCAUCUCACCAGCUCCCCCUUUGGUUCUUUCUAAGCAUUAGUAAAAUGGAUCAUAAAGUAUAGGAUAUAGGUUAGUUCAGAUGAGGGAGUCAUUAAGUUAUUUCUUAGGUAAGACAGAAGAGAUGAUAAAUGACUGGCCUUUUAACUAAUGAAUUUGUCUAAGGACAAAAAUGCUUAAUUGCAAUUGCUUAGGUUGAAAAUGACAUAACAUUUAUGUCAUUUUCAUGUUACACCUGGACUGGUGACCUGCAUGACUUGUGGGUGCCAUAUGGGGAAGUAGGAAGAUACUCUUUAAAGUUACAUGAGGGAGAAUGCCUCCAUGAACCUGUUAUGUUGCUUGCUUUUAUUAAGGAUUUAUUUAGAUUUUUUUAACUUUUAGGAGGUAAGGGGGCUUGGUUUGUACAAAUGAGUACUAUUCCCAUGGUGCCAGAGAAGGUAGUAUGAUUCCUUGGAGCUGGAGUUAAAGGCAGUUUUGAGCCACUUGAUGUGCGUGCUAGGGUCCUCUGUAAGAACAGCAAGCACUCUUCACCACUGAGCCAUCUCUCUAACCUUUGUUCAUUUAUUUUGGUACCAGAAAAAAUAGUCAGUUGUACAGUCAUAUGGACUGCUGUGUGACGUGCCAUGGGGGCCUUGGUGAAGGGGAAUUCUUUACCACUGCCAAGCUGGCAUGUGGUUUUCCAGACUGUUUCCAGAGAUUUAUCAAACUAUAUAAAGUCUGAUUUACAGUAUACUAUGAAAGGGCAAAAAGAUGAGCUAGGUUUGCGCAGAAUAUUUCCAGUGUCCUGGGAGGUGGGUGAGUUCAUAUGCUGGGAAUGGUGACCUUGGGGGUUGCGUAGGAAGCUUGGAAAUGAUGCUAUUAAAGAUUUAAACUAGCUGCUGAGAAUCACUGAAGAAUUUGAAUAAUACUCCACUAAAGAUACAAAACCUAUAGUAGCCGCAGGAAUUUUUGUUAAUAUUACUUCUUUAUAGAUGUCAGUAAGAGUAUCUUUAUUUUUAUGAUAAUUGAAGGAGGUAAGUUUUGUAUGUGUGGGUGUGACAGGAGGAGAGAAGCAAUUGAAGGUACUCUUAAAUUAGAGUAUUUAGAAAUUAGUUCAAACAAAGUGUGGCCUAGGAGAAAAUGAAACCUGGCUUUAUAAAGUCUUCAGGCUUAAGCCUAGUAGGAGAAGUUUUGGUUUGACUGAGAAAUGGUAGAAAUUAUAGUUUCAUAAAACAGGUCUGGGUGAUGACAAAGUCAGUGUUUUAUUUUAGUUGGUUUCAAGAAUAAGGUGCUAAAGCACAAAGUUGUUGAAGCAGUGGAAGGAUUUAAAUUCUAGUAUUUUGUUGACUGACUAUUGAUAAGAGCCUUUAGUAGGUCUAAUAAUGUUGAGCUGACUUAAGUGUUCUGAAGGAGACUUGUGUAUAUGUGUGUGAAGAACUUUGUAAACUAUGGUUAAAAUGUUAAUAUAACAGUGGUAUGUUUCAGUGUAAAAAAGAUCAGAACUAUUAGAACAUUGACUGUAUUGGAUACUUAAGAUGCGUUUUAGUCAUUUAUAAAAGGAUUGUUGGUUAGCAAGCUCUCAUGACCUGCUUGCCUCAGUGAUGGGCUUAUAGCUCUGUCCAGCUUUUUAUGUGGAUACCAAGCAUUUGAACUCAUAUCUUCAUGCCUGCAGAUCAAGCAUUUUUGCUGAGCCAUCCCCAUCACUGUUAUUCAGUAAAAUAGUUAUUGAGCUAUUUAAGAUGAGUUUUAGUUAACUAACUUUUAUGUUUGUGUAUAGUUAUAGGAGAAAUUAUGACUUAGAAAUUAUAACAGUAAAACUACUAUAAUCAAAUUUGAGCAUGAUGGUUCUGGUUCUGGAUUUAAAAAUGUAUCGCCUACUUUAAAUCCUACCCUGGCCACUUAACUGUCUUUAGGAUGUUAGGGAACUUGUUAAACUCUCUGAAGCAUCCUCAUCAGAAAAAAUAGGAAAAGUAUGUUAUAGUGGUUGUUAAGAGAUUAUAUGAGCUCAUAUUUCUGUGUGCUUAAAACAGUGUCUUAACACUAUUUUAAUGUAAAUAAAUUCAGCAAAUAAACCUCUUAAAGAUAAGUGUUCAUAUGUCAGAUUUUUAUAUUCUCUAUAGUCUACUUACCCAUUAAAUUACGUAUUUUGCUUUUUAUAUGCAUGAAGUUCUCUUUUGUUUAAAGUUUGUUGAGUUGUCCUCCCCCUCUGUCUCCUAGAGCUGCUUACCAUCCAGAGUUUCCAACUGUUCUGACAGCUUUAGAAAUAGACAAUGCUGUUGUGGCAAACAGCCUGAUUGACAUGCGGAGCAUAGAGACAGUGCUGCUGAUCAAAAAUAAUUCUGUGGCUCGUGCAGUCAUGCAAUCCCAAAAGCCACCCAAAAAUUGUAGAGAAGCUUUUACUGCUGAUGGUGAUCAAGUGUUUGCAGGACGUUAUUAUUCAUCUGAAAGUACAAGACCCAAGUUUCUAAGCAGAGAUGUGGAUUCUGAAAUAAGGUUUGAAUUAAGUGCUUCACUCUUUUAUUCCCACUGUCCCCUUUGGGUUCCAUUUUCUGUGAUUUCUUUAGUAUUUGGUCUUAAAAGUUUCUUUAACAUGGAAUUCAGCACUUAUUUUGACAACAGUAUUUAGGACUAAAUGAAUAAAAUGUGCUUAACAGUUCUUCUGCAUGUUUCUACCUGUCCUCAAGCUGUAGCGCUUGCUUGGGCAGCAUGUAUAUUGAAAUUGGAACAACCUACAGAAGACUAUUGUGUCUCCUGUAAAAGGAUAGACUAUACACUCUGAAUGCAGCAUUCCAUGCUGAAGAACUGAAAGGGUGUGCAGGAGCUGGAUCACUGCUCACUACAGCGUUUCCUUUUCUUUCUUUCUUUCUUUUUUAAUUAGCAAGAGUCCAGCAUGCUAGGCUACUUUCGGUCAUAGACUUCCUUAUCUGUCUCAUUUGUAGAGUUACAUUGUUUGAGAGAGCAAGAAAAAAGGUCAGUUGAUAACAUAUAAAACACCAGCUUGGGAAAAUAGCUGAAAGAGAAGACAAAUGGAGGAGUCCUCCCCCCCCCCCCCC
rnacentral:lncRNA from 1 species